CUGAACUUAACCUCGACUUGGUGACGACAGAGGAGAUGAUGAACGAAACAGACAAAGAAAGGAAAAGAAGAGAUCAGACCUCACCCUCAUGGCCUCUUCCUGAGGGUUAUCAAGAUAAGAGUCACACAACAGUUCCUGUGCAGGGCACACAACCCUAGCACGACAGUUCACAGAAUAAAUCACAGGUCUCCUACUCUCAUAGCCAAUUCAGUAGGUGACUAAAAUACUCAAUGAGUCAACCGUCAAGGGAGGGCACCCCACUUGGGGUCGCCGGGGUGAUCAGGCCCGGAAACCCAAAGUUGGGGCUCCCAGGGGUGGAGGCUUUGACUCUUGAAAGAUUUCUUUGUUUCCCGGUUGCAAAGCUCAAAAGGAGACAAAAAUGGCCAUUGUAACUCUAAGAAAGAUGAAAGAGAUGGGUCCAUUACUUUGAAAAUCCCUCCUGAACCUAGGGCAGCAUCCUACCCGUCGUUCCUACUGUGGGGUUCCUAUAGCAAGGGGUGAUGGGGGGGUCCUCCAGCAUUGCAUGCCUUGUAUACCUUCCUUGUUAUGCCUGGCAGUAACAGGUGCCUGGUGAAUGGUCCCAGAGAGAAAAGGAGCCAUUACCUUGAAAAUCCCCCCAGUGGGGUUCCUGUAGCAAGGAAUGAUGGGGGCAUCCCUUGAACAUCUUCCCUAUUAUGCCUGGCAGUAAUAGGUGCCUGGUGAAUGGUCCCCAGGAUAAAAGGAUAGAGAAAAACAGUGAGGAAUUUUCCGCCAGUCUGGGGGACAUUCUACCCAAUUGCAGCCUGGAGCCAUUCUCCCAAAAAGGGGUUCCCAUACUCCACCAAAGGUUAGAGUUUGGUACUUCCCUUGAAGUGGAGUCCCGAUUGGGACUUUCCCUCAGUUCAGAGCAUGGUCAGGUGCCAUGGGAGGGAUCCCAAUCCAGCCUUAGGAAAAGAAACCUUCCGUGGGAGUCUUGCAGAUUGGCGAACGUCCUAAUGACUUAAGUGGCCGACCCGCGCCCACGUAAAAUUUAUAUAUUAGAGAUAGAGUCAAGAAGGAAUGGAUUAAUUCAUUCUUCAUCGCCCUGAGGCUUAAGGUACUGAUUCUCUUCAAGCUGAAUGCCAUGAUUUUCCCCCUAGAGUAGCCAUGGGCAGCAAACGUGGAUUCAUACAGCCAUCCAAGAAAGUUCCCGAUGGAGAAGUGAAUUUAGAUCCAUCCUCGAAAAAGAGAAAGGCACAAGGAAAAAGGGCACUUACCAGAACUUGAGCUCACAAGCCGAUGAAGCAAGUUGCCCGUAUGGGCCACCAGAAAUGAUGUGGGGUCGGUGAGCCAAGGAGUCGAAAGAAAGAUUUCUUGGACUCUCAAGGCCUGGCAGUGGUGCUCUUUUAUUUAGAGAAUAGUACGGAAUAGCAUGGGGACAGGACCCAUGGGCAGUCAGAGCUCCUGCUGCUGCCCCGAGUUGAGGGUUAGGGCUAAAUUUAUAAGGCAUGGGUACGUGACUUAUUUUUACUGGAAAAAGAAAAGAUGAUGUAAAAAGUCAUUAAAUGAUUUCAGUGCAGAUGGGGUCUGGUUAUUGUGCGGUCAUAUAACUUUAGAUACGAAUCUGGCCAUAUAGAUCGGCAUGUAGGUGAGGAUGCCCUGGGCUUCUCUCCCUGGGGCAGCCCUAAUUCACACCAUAAAAAUCCACCAGGUCAUAUAGUUUGGCAUGUAGGCUAGGUCACCUUGGGCUUCUCUAGCUGGGGCUGCCUUAAUCCACAUCACAAGGAAGUGAGGUGUACAGAGUGGUUAUAUACCCCCAUACAGGACGUUUCACAUGUGAUUGAAAUGUCCCUCCCACAAUAGUCACAAGAUUGCCCUGUUGGCACAGCACUUGAUGGACAGAGCAGGUAGUGGGUCCGCUAUCUUGGUGGGCACAGCAGGAGGCAAGUCUAUUGUUUCCAGCUAGGCGGUCACAGGUGAGCGCAGCAAUCAGCUUCCAGCCUAAGGAAAGAUGCUUAAUCCUUAAAGAAAUGCCAAGGUUGGGAGGGGGAGGGAAGUUGCACCUUUAUCUCAAGGGCCUUUGCUCUUGCCAUAGGGAAUCUCUAAAGCAGAUAUACAACGCAUGCUCAACGGCCUCGGUCAGGCCCUUUUGGAAAGACAAGUUCAGGCAGAGUUAGGUUUACACCAAAUGGCUUCCUCAUAGUCUCCAAUAUAUCCUAUUGCUUGCCAUUUUUAUUUGUCACCUGUCUCCUGCCUCUGUCCCCAGGUCCACCAGCAUGGUACCCCAAGGACUGGGUCUCUGCUCUCACCAGGGACCACACUCCCCGGGAAGCCCUGAGCCACUCUGGGCUGGACAACUGGCCAUCCUGCCUCUGGCCUGUGCUGGGCCCGCUGAGCCCUCGGGACCCAGCAGGGUCAGAGCAGGACGACCGUCAGGGGCUCACAGGCCAGGCACGGGAGACAGGCUGUUCAGGGCCCGGGCUGGGGUGGGCCAUGAGGGGGCCCAGGGCCCAGGGCUGGCUCUGCUAACCCUGAAGUUUCCGCCUGGGCUGGCAGGAAGCCACACGGGCAAGCAGGCUCUCCCCCCCGGCCUGGCCCUAGACUCCACCCGACUCACACAGACACGGACUUUAUCUCCCAGGACAGGGAGGGGCUGAGGGUGGAGAUUAGCCACCUGCUGGGGGCUCCCACCCCAGGGCGGGAACAGCUCAGGCAUCCAAGAACAGCCGGGCCCCGGAAGCACCCUCACCCUGUGCUGGGGGCUCACCUUCGUCCCCUGAGUGGGGUUUCGGGGACGAGGCCCACCAGGAGCUGUUCUAUGGCUUUCCUGUCUGUCUGCUCCCCUACCCCAGGGCCAGGGUGAGUGGGUGACAGAGGGCUGGGUCAGCCUAGGAGAGCCGGGCAGCUGGGGGACAAGGGCAGGACAGGGACAUCGUGGGCAGGGAUGGGGAAGAGGGUACACCCAGGGGCAGGAAUAGGGGCGCUGGGGCGCGGCUGGACAGACAGGCAGGCUCAGGAGACUCACCAGGCUCAGGGCAUCAGCCUUGGGUGCCGGGCUCCAUGGGGGUGGCCCCCAGCCUCGCAGAGGCUCCAUGUCUCUCCUCAGGACCCCUCAUUCCCUGGCUGCUGUCCCCUGCCCCCUGCCAGCAGGACGAGCUUUAGCACUUGGGCUUCCUGCUGCCUCGCUGGCUGAAAGAGAAAGAGAAACUGCAGCAGGAGCCAGCGAGGACAGCCUUCGGGGUGAUCUCAGGAAGUAUUCGUCUCCAGUCCCCAAGUACGUGCCGUUGGGGCCCUAGGCUGCCAGGGGAUCAGGACCCCACAGUGACAGGCAGGGAGGGCCCUGGGCUGCAGUCUGCAGUUGGCAGGACCAGCGGUCCAGAGCAGAGGUCAGGGCAGGGGGAGGGGGGCAGCAUAAGCGGCAGGGGGGAUCUCCUGCUGACCCUAGAGAGCCAGCCUGCAGCUCCUGACAGCAGGAGCCAAGAGGAACCUCCUUGGCUGUAUCUUACCUGUCUCUGUUGAAAAGGGGGGACCCUACGUCUAUGGAAAGGAGGAACCAGCGUCUAUGGAAAGGCGGGAUGCUGCUUCUACGGAAAGGGGGCCCAGCCACUUCAAGGAAACCCCGCCUCCCAGCAGUGCAUUCUGGGCGUGUCCACCCUCUGCCUGGGGCUGGGUCAGGCUGGUUUCCACCUGCACAGCCCUGCGCACGUCUCUGCAGAAGACGGGGUUCUCCCCACUCCACCUUCCCUGGAGCCAUGGCCAUCUCCCGAGCUGGGGGACAGGAGGGCAGGCCUGGGAGAGCAGACCCUCAUACACACACCUGGUGCCUAAGAGGCAGACUUGGGACUGGUGAGAGGCACCCACCCAGCCCUGGCAUCCUGGAUGGGGAGCGACUGGGGGACCCUGGGAGGAGACCCUGGGCGCUGGGGAAGGAACAGGGCAGGAGUGAAGUCCGAGGGCUGGGUGGAGGCUGACCACUGCCCUAUCGGCAAAGCUUCGCAGCGCCCAGAGGCAGCGUCCACCCUGGCCACCAUCACCCGGGACGACCAGCCCAGCCCCACAGACCCUGGUGCUCUGAGGUAGGGUGGGGGUUUGCUGGGACCAGGGGCUUGGGAGCCCCCAUGAGACCCAGCAGCACAGGGUCCCAUCCCCACACCCAGGGGCCUUUUAGAGGGUGCCCCCACCCCGCUCCCCCACGUGCACUCACACCCCCUGCCCCCCGCACUGCCGGGGGGUUUCCAAUGAAGGGAAAGGGGCACCCCCUCUGCACCCUCUGCUUGGUCCCAAGAGCCCUGGGGAGUGCUUUAGAAUGCCCUGGAAACCCCAGCAGCACACGGGUGCCUCAGAGUACACUGCAGGCACCCAGGGCAGGGACAGGGCUCUGGGACCACCUCUGCUCCCUGCCAUGCCCCCAGGGACCUCCCAAGUCCUGGGAAGAUCCUUGGGGUGGGGUUGGCCAGAGAGGGAGGAUGUUCUCCCUACACCUGGUGAGGCCCCCAGGACCCUCGAUCCCGGCUCUCAACCCACCACUCCCUUCAGAUGCCUCCUUUCAUCAGAGAUCCUUUCAUCCACCCCACCCUGGGCAGGUGGGGAAACUGAGGCACAGCAAAGGGCAGGACUUACCCACAGGCAUCAGUGAGUCUCAGCUGGAAUGGGGAGUCCCAUGGCUGGCUCGGCCCCUGUACCCCUGGC
rnacentral:lncRNA from 1 species